UGGCAGCUUGGUGGUAGAGCCUCUGCUCUGCAUGCAGAAGGUCCCAGGUUCAAUUCCCAGCAUCUCAA